rnacentral:rRNA from 1 species
UAUCUCUGUAGAGUCUGCAUAUCAAUAAGCGGAGGAAAAGAAACUAACUAGGAUUCCCUCAGUAACGGCGAGUGAAGCGGGAAGAGCUCAAAUUUGAAAUCUUCAAGGUUUUACCUUGACGAAUUGUAGUUUAAAGAAGUGUUUUCUGUUGGUGUUUUGGUAAAAGUUCUUUGGAAUAGGACAUCAUAGAGGGUGAGAAUCCCGUAUUUGACCAUUACUUUCCAGCUUUGUGAUACACUUUCAAAGAGUCGGAUUGUUUGGGAAUGCAGUCCAAAAUGGGUGGUAAAUUUCAUCUAAAGCUAAAUAUUGGCGAGAGACCGAUAGCGAACAAGUACCGUGAGGGAAAGAUGAAAAGAACUUUGAAAAGAGAGUUAAACAGUACGUGAAAUUGUCAAAAGGGAAGCGUUUGACACCAGUGUUGUUUUCUCGAAAAUCAAUUAAAAAGUGUUGGAUUUUGUAUUGUUAAGACCUUAUCAGCUUACUGUACUCUUUUCCUGCUCUUUUUAAUGCACUUUCCGUUUAACAAGACAACAUCAAUUUCUUUUGUUGUAAAAGAGUCAUUGGAAGGUGGCUUUCACUUCGGUGAAAGUGUUUAUAGCCUUUGGCUUCUGCAAUCGGAGAGAUUGAGGUCUGCAGCGUAGAUCCUUCGGGGCUAGAUACGUAGAUGCUAAGUUAUAGUUUUUUAUAGACAACUUGUUGACUAUAAUUAAUCAUGUAGCUUACUCGUUUGCGCUAUUUUACCUACGCUUAGGAUGUUGAUCUCUCACAGUCGAGC